rnacentral:rRNA from 1 species
UACGUAGGGGGCAAGCGUUGUCCGGAAUCAUUGGGCGUAAAGAGCUCGUAGGCGGUGUGUCGCGUCGGCCGUGAAAACCUGCAGCUUAACUGUGGGCUUGCGGUCGAUACGGGCAUCACUGGAGUUCGGCAGGGGAGACUGGAAUUCCUGGUGUAGCGGUGAAAUGCGCAGAUAUCAGGAGGAACACCGGUGGCGAAGGCGGGUCUCUGGGCCGUAACUGACGCUGAGGAGCGAAAGCGUGGGGAGCAAACAGG